AUCAGUCACAUGUGCGAGCAUGUGCGCGAGUCACAUUGGCGGCUGUUUCGGCGUCAGUUUCAGCGCCUGUCAACGUCUGUCAUCGUCUUUUGUUUUGUCCCUUUCGUAGCCCUUUUGUCGAACACCCACGAAUAUGCCUCACCGUGUAGUCCAAGCAGCACUUUGCUUGGUUACAGUGCGCACUCUUGUUCCAGCCCUCGCGGCCGAUUUCCCGGCAAGGUUCUGCCCGGCCAUGCUUCAUGAAGACUGCUGCCCUUGGACUCGUGGGAAACCAUUAUGCUGAAGGGAGGCAACUGUCAGCGACACCACUUCGUUUACAAC
rnacentral:lncRNA from 1 species